UUGAACGCUGGCGGCAUGCUUUACACAUGCAAGUCGAACGGCAGCGGGGGCUUCGGCCUGCCGGCGAGUGGCGAACGGGUGAGUAAUGCAUCGGAACGUGUCCUGUAGCGGGGGACAACCCCGAGAAAUCGGGGCUAAUACCGCAUACGUCCUACGGGAGAAAGUGGGGACCGCAAGGCCUCACACUAUAGGGGCGGCCGAUGCCGGAUUAGCUAGUUGGUGGGGUAAAAGCUCACCAAGGCAACGAUCCGUAGCUGGUCUGAGAGGAUGAUCAGCCACACUGGGACUGAGACACGGCCCAGACUCCUACGGGAGGCAGCAGUGGGGAAUUUUGGACAAUGGGCGCAAGCCUGAUCCAGCCAUGCCGCGUGAGUGAAGAAGGCCUUCGGGUUGUAAAGCUCUUUCGGCCGGGACGAAAUCGCUCUCGCUAAUACCGGGAGUGGACGACGGUACCGGAAUAAGAAGCACCGGCUAACUACGU
rnacentral:rRNA from 1 species